AGCAGGGUGGCGCAGUGGAAGCGUGCUGGGCCCAUAACCCAGCGGUCAAUGGAUCGAUACCAAUUCCUGCUA
rnacentral:tRNA from 1 species